GUGGGGAAUUUUCCGCAAUGGGCGAAAGCCUGACGGAGUGACGCCGCGUGGGGGAUGAAGGCCUUCGGGUUGUAAACCCCUGUCAGAGGGAAAGAAGGGUCGGCGUGUGAAUAGCGCGUCGAUCUGACGGUACCUUCAGAGGAAGCCCCGGCCAACUCUGUGCCAGCAGCCGCGGUAAGACAGAGGGGGCAAGCGUUGCUCGGAAUCACUGGGCGUAAAGGGCGCGUAGGCGGGAUGGCAAGUCGGUCGUGAAAUCCCUGGGCUCAACUCAGGGGGGUCGGCCGAUACUGCCAUUCUUGAGGGAUGCAGAGGAGACUGGAAUUCCCGGUGUAGCGGUGAAAUGUGUAGAGAUCGGGAGGAACACCGGUGGCGAAGGCGGGUCUCUGGGCAUUCCCUGACGCUGAGGCGCGAAAGCGUGGGGAGCAAACGGGAUUAGAAACCCCGGUAGUCC
rnacentral:rRNA from 1 species